rnacentral:rRNA from 1 species
UACAGAGGUCUCAAGCGUUGUUCGGAUUCAUUGGGCGUAAAGGGUGCGUAGGCGGCGCGGUAAGUCGGGUGUGAAAUCUUGGAGCUUAACUCCGAAACUGCAUUUGAUACUGCCGUGCUUGAGGACUGGAGAGGAGACUGGAAUUUACGGUGUAGCGGUGAAAUGCGUAGAUAUCGUAAGGAAGACCAGUGGCGAAGGCGGGUCUCUGGACAGUUCCUGACGCUGAGGCACGAAGGUCAGGGGAGCAAACGGG